AUGGUAUCUUCAAACUUAGAUAGUCCAUCUUAGCCAUCUUUAGCUCCCGGUUUUUUUGGACUAUCCAAACAACAAAAUGCUUC
rnacentral:sRNA from 23 species